GGAAGGAGAAGAAUAAAAAAAAACUUCGUUAGAUGUUUUUGUUACAAGGUCGUAUAAAAAGUCGGCCACUUCCAGAUGCGGCCCCAUAAAAAAAGCUACAAAGUAGAGAAGAGAGAAAACCCGGCUGACAGGUGCUGCCAGAUGUGAAUAUUUCCCUCCCAAGAGAGCAGCUAAAAGCAAAGGGGAGAAAAGUCGUAAUUGCGUAUCAUGCCCCGAGAGACGGAGACGUAGAAGGGGGAUCGAAGUGCACCCCUGUUCAGUUUAGUAGCUGUGUGUAACUGCGCGUGUUCGAUUGAGCAGCAGGGAAAUGGGAAAAGAGGCGAACGACGAUGGAGGGAAUAAUUUACGAGUUUAACGAGUGUCCGUUGUUGGUUUGGGUAUUUCUGUGGAAGAGCGCUUCUGCUCGAUCGGCAAGCCGGAAAUUACGAUUUAAUAUUAUUUACAUAUUUACGCCAUCACACUUGGUUGCUCUCUUUUGGGGGUGCGCAGAAAGCCAUCUGUAGGUGGAGGAAUUUUUCCCGGUAAUUAGUGGGGCCUAGAUUUGGCUUCCUUUCAUCUUUGCACCCGAAAGAGAACAGGGGUGCGUGACUGUCAUAAGUUAAUUUUGUAUUUGUUUACAUUCUCCUUUGAAUCGCUGACAGAGAACCAAGCAAUCCAAGCAAGCUGUGCCGAAGUGUUGCAAAAGCGAUGCGGUGCAAGAGAGGGAGAGAGAGAGAGCGUUGGGCUAAAAAUUUUGAAUGUUGUUUUGCUUGUUGAUCGCAGCGCCGCAGUGUGAAAGUUAAUUCAUGCAAAUUGAAGUCUGUUCUUAUUGGCGGUGGAUUGUUUUGCUGUGCUGUGUUGUUUUCUUCCAUUCUGUGAUGUCUGGGGUUUUACGUCCGCGUGGAAUGCAGUCGGAUGAAAUUUGAUGACUGGAGCAGUGCCACCUACUCAGCGCCAUCCAAGAAGGCGACGACGACGACGACGGUGUGGAUGAACUCGUGCGGUUGCUUGGGUAAGGUUACCAGCUGGAAUCGAACACCACUGCGCUGGAUCGUCUGCUGAUGUCACGUCGAUGAAGAAGCCGGCUAUAAAUAGCUUCCAACAGCCAGCAGAGCCAAAGCCGGGAGAAAACGAGGGACACGACCCGAACAUAAAAUUCACAUGUUACCGAGUGAUAUCCCCGGAGCGGAUGGGGUAGGACGCUGUAAUCGAGCAGGGGUGGUUUGUGACAGAAGGAAACGCUAACUGCAGGGGUGGAAUGGAUUAUUAAUCGUCAGGUACCAUCUCGGCCACCGAAUUAAACCAUUCCGCAUCCUCUGCUGCGUUUAGUUGGCACGAAGCUAUCAAAACAGAUCUGUCACCGUAAUGAACUGGCUUAGCGCUAGAAGCAAAUAAAAACAAUCCAACUUGAUUCACGGACCUAUAGGUGAAGUGGGGUCUGCAUGAGCUCUAAAUUGCGACGCGACAGCACUCCCAGAUGCGCAGAUGUUCGUCCGAACCGGAGAGCAGGUUCUCGGAAAUGCUUACACUUUGCGGCGCGCCACAGAUCGACGGUAUUUGCCACCUACGCAGCCGACACUCGUGCACCUUUCGGGAUCAACCAGUGCCAGUGCGAUGACGACGAACGCAGACGGUGACGGUUACGAAGUCCGAUAUAAAUCUUGUCCGCUAAAUAUUUUAAGCUGUUAUUUGAACAAACAAAAAUGCUUGAACCCCCGCGCACCUCAGGCGACCAGUGCGCUCCCGAAGGAACGCCGAGCCGAGCGCAAUCACGAUGACAAAUCACAUUAGCAUACCGUGCGAAGACCGCGGCGAGUAGCGCUCUCGUCUCGUCUCGUCCCGGCAGAACUACUGCGAAGAACUUGUGGAUGAACGACCGACGGUAGUUGGACCUGGACCGCGACCGCAUGGCGGGUGAGAUUUAGAUAAAAGUUUGAUUUAUUCGGUUGACGCCAGCUUGACGCGCAGUUGAACGAGCUCGAUUGAAUGAAAAUUAAUCAUCCAAGCAGUUGUUGCACCAUUCGCGGGGGGUGAAACAACGACCGAGGAGAGACUGUCGAAGUGCCUCACUCAGGGCCCAUCCGUCAUCCGGUUGCCAUUUGGUUGCGCUGUUGAUAACGAAUCUGGCAGCGGAAUGUUUUGAACCGUCGUCGGUGGUUGCGUGACACACAUGUUGCGCUCAUCCAGAUGGAUGAGCAAACGGCGGCGGUCACCCGAUUCCAUACUGAUCAAUUCUAAUCGACAAUUCAAAUUCUCCAGGCCGCAGCGCCGCAUCAGCGGUUGCCAUGUUGGGCAAAUGCUUCCUGUCGCGCUCUGGCGGUGAAUCAGUAAUCUCAGUGGUAAUCUAUUCGUUUGACAUCAUAGUAGGCUUUUCUCGGGCUAGAGAGGGCAACACGCCGAUUUCGCCACGGCGCGAAGAUUAGUGGAAUGUAAACAAGCGAUAAACAAAGGCUCGGGAGAAUCUAGCAAUCGGACCUGAGAGGUGGCGAGCGCGUGAGCACGGUGAUCUAUUUUGCUUUCGGCGGUCAUUCAUUCUUCUCCGGCAUUCCGCUCGACUUCGGUCGCCCACACAAGCUAGAACCGUACCUAUGUCGGCUAUCAUCGGCAUCGACGCCGCCGACGGUCCCUUGAGGUUUGAUGAUAUGAUUUAUUUGGGUUUUCGGUUUCGGUCGCCUUUGCCGCUCGUAGCCGUCGGUCGGUCGGUGGCCACAUGGCAUCUUCGAGCUGUGGCAACCAUUUGGGAAAAAGCAUUUGUUUUCCAGCAGUUCGGUCGUAUGGCCCUAAGGGAAAUUACUUUUUGGUGGGCGGUUGUUUUCGUCAGUUAUUGCGUUUUUACAGACAUUUGGAAAUGUCUACUGUGAAAACCAGAUUUUCUCCAAUUAAAUUCGUGUCGCAUCUUUUCGCACAAUAUGAGAUGCGCCAACGUACGCACAAUUUCGAAACAUAACGACUCAGCUUUUCUAUUUGAAGCAGCGUUUACUAGGAAUCCAGUAGAAUCCGCUUGAUUCUUUACUUCGGUACUUUAUUUACUUGGUCGAAUGUAGAAUGCAGUUCAGUGAUUUUUAGUAAGAUAAUUCUUACAAUUUACUAGUGUCUCGAAAAAUCGAAUAAGUCUCCGGCCUUGGCUCUACUCCGACGAAGAGCUCCCCGGUGGUAGAAGAACUCCUGCAGUUAGCUGGUAGCUGACUUAUACACUCCCGUGCAUAAGUUUGGGUUCACCGCC